CAUCGGGACAUAAAGUAAUAGUUUUACAACUAGUGGCAUCCAAGUAAGAGAUAAUAAUCUGAGUGGGACAGGGAGACAAGGGAAGAGAAUACUUGAAAUACUAAGAAGGAGAACUUGGUAAAUUGUUAGAAGACAGGUGAAGAUGAACGGGGAGGAAAUCUAAGAUAGUUUCCAGGUUUCUGGUUUGGGUAACGGAGUCUGCGUGGUAAACUACCUGGGAUGGAUAGGAGGCGCAGGUUUGGGAAUAGGGAGCCAAAGUUACGUUGCGUGAGGGGCUUGUUGGUUGUGUAGAUCGGAUGACAGGAGCUCUGGUAUUUACUUUGGCGCCGGGAGCCUGCGGCUCUGCCUUGAUGGAUUCAGCCUCUUCAGAGCUGUCUGUCAAAGGCAAGGAGAUGAGGUGUAGAUCGGCAGGGUGCGGGUACCUGGGCCCUGCCUAGAUCGCCGAACACCCGCAGCUCCCAGGGCUCGGGAGUCCUGGUCCGGGAGAGCCGGGGGCCCGCCCAUCGCUGUCAGAGGAAGCUGCGUGAUUGGCUGGAGACCGGGCCGUGGGCGGGCCCGGACGCGAGGAACUGCUCAACGAUUGGCUGGGAGGCACCAAAAAAGGUCCAAUUCAAACUACUGGAGCCGCCUUUCCAAAGGGUUGGCGCCGAGUUCCACCCCACCCCUUCGCUUAGUUAGACAGGUAAGCAAGCCAGAGUUGUAUUGGUCAGAUCCUCCCGGUGCAGCUCCUUUCCAGAAUCAGAAUGAGAAGAGAGCUGUGAUUGGCUUAUUUUCUGGGGCGGGCACUCUAGGCCUUGUCCGGCCUUCGCUUCGGGGACUAGCGCCCGUCCUGGGCAUGGAUUGGGCUGCAGGGUUGUCAGCUUGAUCCGGGAGGCGUGGCCAGCACUGAUAAAGACUGGGGCCGGCGCGGCAACUGCAGUAAGUUCCACAGCAGUUAGAGCUCCGGUGGGCAGCCAGAGGCGGAGUUCGGAGGUGCGGGCGGCUUCACCGCAGCGUUUCCCGAUCGGGUGUCUAGCCGCAGACUCCGGAGAGGAAACGGUCCUCUCAUCCUUCUCUCGGUGACAUGUCUGCUCCAGCUCAGCCACCCACUGAAGGGGCAGAAGGGGCUGCCCCAGGUGGGGGUCCCCCUGGCCCUCCUCCUAAUAUGACCAGUAACAGACGACUACAGCAAACCCAGGCACAAGUGGAGGAGGUGGUGGACAUCAUGCGUGUAAACGUGGACAAGGUCCUAGAGAGGGACCAGAAGCUGUCAGAGCUGGAUGACCGAGCCGACGCUCUGCAGGCAGGUGCAUCACAAUUUGAGAGCAGCGCUGCCAAGCUAAAGAGGAAGUACUGGUGGAAAAACUGCAAGAUGAUGAUCAUGCUGGGAGCCAUCUGCGCCAUCAUCGUGGUAGUUAUUGUAAUCUACUUUUUUGCUUGAGAACGUGCUGCCCCGUCCCUGUUCCCCCCGGCCAUCUGAACUCAUGUCCCUCUCUCCCUCCGUCUCUCCCCGGCGCUACCCCAUCCGCCUUCCUCCACCCCAGCCCCGCUUCGCCAUCACCCACUCCUCCUCUUUUGUUGCUUUCAUUUGCACGCGGUCCCACGACACCGGAAAUGCUGCUCAUGGUACAGUCUUGAGGUAACUGCCUGGUAAACAACAGCGGGCAUCUCCUUCCUCCCCCAUCACGCUCUCAAGUUCCCCCAAAGGGCUGGAGGUGGAGGGCCGAGGAAGGGGCGGAGCUGAGGUGACAUGCCCAAGAAGGGGCCAGAACUGGGGGGAGGAGAAGAGGCUUCUGCUGGUGGUGUUGCCAGGAAAGGCCAGGCCGCUGGCAGGAGGAGGCUGGGGACAGCUGGGAGAAUGUCCCUCACCUGGAGUUCUUCUCUUGGGCCAGGCCUUGGAAGGGAGCCUGGACUGGGCCUGCAGUCCAGCCUGGGCCUGGUGCAGGAUGCCUUAAGAAAGUCAAGCCUGUUUUUCAGAGGGAUGUCCCAUCCGUUACUCUUAAGAUUUUCUGUCUUCAGGGAUCUUACCACCUUUUACUUUGUCCUCCAGUGACCUAGAGGAUACAUAUUCAUAGCGAAAAAAUGCCAGGACUCCCAUUCCCAUCCUGGAAGCAGUCCUGCCAGCUCACACCUGGACGGGGCGUUUGUCCACGUUUUCUGUUUUCUGCACCAUUCUGUGUUAUUCGUGAGGGCUCAGAUAAUUUCAUUAGCCAGAGUUUGAGACUUUCACUGAAUUUUACUGGCAUAUAUAAAGAGAGGAUGCCUGUGGGUUAUAGAGACACAGCAAGUCCAGGGCCUAACCCGAAAAUAACAAGCCUGGAGGAAGUCACUUCUCACCCUCUUGUUCUGAGGUUCCUGUUGCUCUCUCCUGUUGAUGGAGGAGGAUGAGGGGCUAGAGGGGGUCACCGCCGGAGAAGAACCACCACUGGCCUCGAUGUAUCCCAAGCCUGGAGCAAACCUGCCCUCCUGGGCCGCCCCGUCACAGG